GACGAACGCUGGCGGCGUGCUUAACACAUGCAAGUCGAACGGAAAGGCCCUGCUUUUGUGGGGUGCUCGAGUGGCGAACGGGUGAGUAACACGUGUGUAUCCUGCCCUUGACUUUGGGAUAACUUCAGGAAACUGGGGCUAAUACCGGAUAGGAGCUCCUGCUCCAUGGUGGGGGUUGGAAAGUUUCGGCGGUUGGGGAUGGACUCGCGGCUUAUCAGCUUGUUGGUGGGGUAGUGGCUUACCAAGGCUUUGACGGGUAGCCGGCCUGAGAGGGUGACCGGCCACAUUGGGACUGAGAUACGGCCCAGACUCCUACGGGAGGCAGCAGUGGGGAAUAUUGCACAAUGGGCGGAAGCCUGAUGCAGCAACGCCGCGUGCGGGAUGACGGCCUUCGGGUUGUAAACCGCUUUCGCCUGUGACGAAGCGUGAGUGACGGUAAUGGGUAAAGAAGCACCGGCUAACUACGUG
rnacentral:rRNA from 1 species